AGGAUGAGAACCCUGCAGCCUGCCUGCACUGCAUUAUCUGACUCUUUCCUGAUGCUCGCUGCAAUCAAUGACACCUGCUGCAAAUGGCCAGUGCUCAUGAGCCAAACUUUGCAGCCUGCACCAGCAGCUUUCACAGAAACUUUUCAUCUGUUCCAGCUUCUUUUCAGGAGGAAAAGUUACCAAAAUAGACUGAGCAAUGGGUUCAUCUGCAGCUGUAGAUGGAGCUUCAGUGAAGGCAUGCACCAAAAUGAUGCCAGUUAAAAUAGCUUUGCUGGAACUCUUCACAAAUGGUUCUGUAUAAUGCUGAUGGCCAGCGAUUCCAUUACUCAGUGGGUAGAUACCGUUCCACUUCAUUAUCUCUCAGGACAGAAAAUAGAACUCCACAUUCACAGAGCAGAACUUCCAAAAAUGUUUAUUCAAAACAAGUGAAACCGUACAUUUGUUUUGACUGGUUGAGUGGUUUUACUAAAGUCAAAAAGACCUUCACUGAACAGCUUAAAAUGUUAUAACAUUGAAUAAAUAUAUAUGCUGUACACAUUAAUAUAGAACAAAAUACAAAUGCUCAAAGGAUAAGUUUUGAAGAGACAAACAGCAGAAAUGAAUUAAUCCAUUUUGAUUUUAAGUCACUGGAAUGUUUCCUUUAAAAGUAUUGUUAAAAUCAGCAUGCCCUUUUAAAAUAUGUAAAAGAAAGAGCCAUGCAUAUGCUGUGUAUGUUACAUGGGCAGCCUGAGAUUAAAUGAAA